UACGUAGGGUGCAAGCGUUAUCCGGAAUUAUUGGGCGUAAAGAGCUCGUAGGCGGUUUGUCGCGUCUGCUGUGAAAACCCGAGGCUCAACCUCGGGCCUGCAGUGGGUACGGGCAGACUAGAGUGCGGUAGGGGAGAAUGGAACUCCUGGUGUAGCGGUGGAAUGCGCAGAUAUCAGGAAGAACACCGAUGGCGAAGGCAGUUCUCUGGGCCGUAACUGACGCUGGAGGAGCGAAAGCGUGGGGAGCGAACAGG
rnacentral:rRNA from 1 species